AUGAACGCUGGCGGCGUGCCUCAUCCCUUCAAGUCGAGCGAACAGACGAGGAGCUUGCUCCUCUGACGUUAGCGGCGGACGGGUGAGUAACACGUGGAUAACCUACCUAUAAGGCUGGGAUAACUUCGGGAAACCGGAGCUAAUACCGGAUAAUAUAUUUAACCGCAUGGUUCAAUAGUGAAAGACGGUUUUGCUGUCACUUAUAGAUGGAUCCGCGCCGCAUUAGCUAGUUGGUAAGGUAACGGCUUACCAAGGCAACGAUGCGUAGCCGACCUGAGAGGGUGAUCGGCCACACUGGAACUGAGACACGGUCCAGACUCCUACGGGAGGCAGCAGUAGGGAAUCUUCCGCAAUGGGCGAAAGCCUGACGGGGCAACGCCGCGUGAGUGAUGAAGGUCUUCGGAUCGUAAAACUCUGUUAUUAGGGAAGAACAAAUGUGUAAGUAACUAUGCACGUCUUGACGGUACCUAAUCAGAAAGCCACGGCUAACUACGUG
rnacentral:rRNA from 1 species